GGAGGAAGGUAGGGAGGGAGGUAGGAAGGGAGGGAGGGAGGGAGGAAAAACAAUGAAGGAGAAGGGAAGGGAAGAUACUGUAUUUGGAGAACAAGAUGAGCGACGGCAGGAGAUUAACGUGGUGAAGUGUUGAUCAGUUGAUUGAGAGAAUAAUACAAGGAAAAGCAAGAAAGAAGACAUCUAUGCUUUUAGUCUGGAGUCUUAACUCAGUCCUAAACUACAUCUAUGCUUUUAGUCUGGAGUCUUAACUCAGUCCUAAACUACAUCUAUGCUUUUAGUCUGGAGUCUUAACUCAGUCCUAAACUACAUCUAUGCUUUUAGUCUGGAGUCUUAACUCAGUCCUAAACUACAAUACUUAACUACAUCUAUGCUUUUAGUCUGGAGUCUUAACUCAGUCCUAAACUACAAUACUUAACUACAUCUAUGCUUUUAGUCUGGAGUCUUAACUCAGUCCUAAACUACAAUACUUAACUACAUCUAUGCUUUUAGUCUGGAGUCUUAACUCAGUCCUAAACUACAAUACUUAACUACAUCUAUGCUUUUAGUCUGGAGUCUUAACUCAGUCCUAAACUACAUCUAUGCUUUUAGUCUGGAGUCUUAACUCAGUCCUAAACUACAAUUACUUAACUACAUCUAUGCUUUUAGUCUGGAGUCUUAACUCAGUCCUAAACUACAAUACUUAACUACAUCUAUGCUUUUAGUCUGGAGUCUUAACCCUGUCCUAAACUACAAUACUUAACUACAUCUAUGCUUUUAGUCUGGAGUCUUAACCCUGUCCUAAACUACAAUACUUAACUACAUCUAUGCUUUUAGUCUGGAGUCUUAACCCUGUCCUAAACUACAACUCUCACCUUAAAAACUACAGUACUUAACUAUCAGGAGGAAGCGAGGGUACAUUGCUACAAUAUAAUCUUGGUUAUCAUUUUGGAAUAUUAUCAGUAAAAAUGUAUGUUGCUUUCAAUAUGGUUCUAAUUUAAAGCACUUUUGUUGUAAUGUGUAUUUGAGUGUGUGUUUUGAGUGUGUGUUUUGAGUGUGUGUUUUGAGUGUGUGUGAGCGUAUUGAAAAUAAUAAGCUUGGUACGAAAACCAAUAGAGAAAACCAAUAGAAAACCAAUAGAGAAAACCAAUAGAAAACCAAUAGAGAAAACCAAUAGAGAAAACCAAUAGAGAAAACCAAUAGAAAACCAAUAGAAAACCAAUAGAGAAAACCAAUGGAGAAAACCAAUAGAAAACCAAUAGAGAAAACCCAUAGAGAAAACCAAUAGAAAACCAAUAGAAAACCAAUAGAGAAAACCAAUAGAAAACCAAUAGAGAAAACCAAUAGAGAAAACCAAUAGAAAACCAAUAGAGAAAACCAAUAGCAAACCAAUAGAAAACCAAUACAGAAAACCAAUAGAAAACCAAUAGAGAAAACCAAUAGAAAACCAAUAGAGAAAACCAAUAGAAAACCAAUAGAGAAAACCAAUAGAAAACCAAUAGAGAAAACCAAUAGAAAACCAAUAGAGAAAACCAAUAGAGAAAACCAAUAGAAAACCAAUAGAGAAAACCAAUAGAAAACCAAUAGAGAAAACCAAUAGAAAACCAAUAGAAAACCAAUAGAAAACCAAUAGAGAAAACCAAUAGAAAACCAAUAGAGAAAACCAAUAGAGAAAACCAAUAGAAAACCAAUAGAAAACCAAUAGAGAAAACCAAUAGAAAACCAAUAGAGAAAACCAAUAGAGAAAACCAAUAGAAAACCAAUAGAAAACCAAUAGAGAAAACCAAUAGAAAACCAAGAGAAAACCAAUAGAAAAACCAAUAGAAAACCAAUAGAGAAAACCAAUAGAGAAAACCAAUAGAAAACCAAUAGAGAAAACCAAUAGAGAAAACCAAUAGAGAAAACCAAUAGAAAACCAAUAGAGAAAACCAAUAGAGAAAACCAAUAGAGAAAACCAAUAGAAAACCAAUAGAGAAAACCAAUAGAGAAAACCAAUAGAAAACCAAUAGAGAAAACCAAUAGAUGCUUCACACAUAUUGUAACAAUUAGCGUUGCCAAAGUCUGCAUUAUGUACGCGUCAAGAGUUUUCUUUUGUACUUGGCACUUUAUCUCCUUCUGACGCUCUUAUCCAUAUUUAACUCCUGUGUUACUUUCUCCAUUUUUUUUGUUAUUUUAAUAUACAAAACAGCUAUACAAAAUGAUCUUCUAAUGAGUAUUAUAACAGUAACUAUGUCAGGAAAUUGAAGCGUUUUCAUUUUGUAUUUUCUUUUGUAAUUUUGUGUUUGUUUUUUUAUCGUUGUUGUUAUUGAUGGUCACUCUACUUCCUGGAGAGAGAAAAAAAAAUCCUCCCCACAAACUUCCUGUUUCCUGUGGGCAUAUCUCAGGGACCCCACCCCUUCCCCCCCCAAAAAAAAACCAGGAAGUUGGCCUUAUUUGUUUGUUCUCUUCUGUUUGUUGUUGUUGAAAGGUCAGUGAGAAGUGUCAUAGUAGUGCUUUUAGAAGCGUUGUAAUGAUUCUCUGAUGUUCCAUCCAGACCAAAGUAUAUAUUAUAUUCAUCUCCCGUUAAUAGAACACAGCCCACACGCUAGAACACUCUAGAACCAACCAUUCCAAGCCAUGUUCCCUUUUCCAAGCCCACAAAGACAUUUUGGAUGUACAUUUUACUCCAAGCCUGUUGGUGGCAGUCUCCACAAGAUUGGUGGUCCUGUCCAUAAACUUCCCACAACAAUGUAACGUUCAGUUACAAAGUUAUAUCAAAACCCUGUUUUCUAAUCAGUCAGUUUGUAUGUAGCUACUUCUUGAGUUAUAUCAUUCUCAGUUUUGUUGAUGUGCUGCAGAGUUGUUGGUUUUUACGGUCGUUAAGCACUGGCGUUCCGGUUUCACACCUUCUUUUAGUGUCCUCCAUCCCCUAGACAACACACCUGACAGUUCCCAUAGCAACUCUCAGUUCACAAUUCAAGCGCUACAAAGAAGUUCUUAAAUCCAAAGAAAACAAUGAAGAGCAGGUUCUCCCAUUUCUCCUGAGUAUAUAUAUAUAUAUAUAUCGGCCCGGUUUUUACUGUGUGUAACUACAUCGUGCCAAAGCUAGUCCCUUCUGCAUGUUUAGUAUUUUGUCUUGGUGUAACACGUACUUUGUCCUACAUUUGCAUGUUGAAACAAAAGUGUUGUGGUCUGUUUUGUAUCGUUGUAUUGUAUCAUGCGCCUGUAGCAUUUCUCCUGCUUUUGCACUUGACAAAGUCGAAUAAAGAGUUUGACAGCUAUGAGAGCAGGUAUCCGUCUUGUGGGAGACUAAUUGUUCACCUAGGACAUUUUCACUAUCAAAAUACCCAUAAAGACGGGUCGUCCAUGAGACCUUGGCCAGUUGUCCACAAAGUACUGAUCUUCCUGACCACCUCUGGCGGCAGUAGGGGACGAAUGGAUUGGAUGACGAAAGCUCAGUGGGUGGGGCUUACAGUUACAACAGCUGGUGAAGUAUACAGGUGAGUCAAAUUGACUUUGGCAGCGAUUACAGCCUCGAGUCUUCUUUUGUAUGACGCUAUAAGCUCGGCACACCUAUAUUUGGGGAGUUUCUCCCAUUCUUCUCUGCAGAUCCUCUCAAGCUGUCAGGUUGGAUGGGGAGCAUCGCUGCACAGCUAUUUUCAGGUUUCUCCAGAGAUGUUCGAUCGGGUUCAAGUCUAAAAGACAUUCAGAGACUUGUCCCGAA
ensembl:lncRNA